rnacentral:piRNA from 1 species
UUUUCUGAGAUCUAGUUCUGA